GCUGGCGGCAGGCCUAACACAUGCAAGUCGAGCGGCAGCACAGAGGAACUUGUUCCUUGGGUGGCGAGCGGCGGACGGGUGAGUAAUGCCUAGGAAAUUGCCCUGAUGUGGGGGAUAACCAUUGGAAACGAUGGCUAAUACCGCAUGAUGCCUACGGGCCAAAGAGGGGGACCUUCGGGCCUCUCGCGUCAGGAUAUGCCUAGGUGGGAUUAGCUAGUUGGUGAGGUAAUGGCUCACCAAGGCGACGAUCCCUAGCUGGUCUGAGAGGAUGAUCAGCCACACUGGAACUGACACACGGUCCAGACUCCUACGGGAGGCAGCAGUGGGGAAUAUUGCACAAUGGGCGCAAGCCUGAUGCAGCCAUGCCGCGUGUAUGAAGAAGGCAUUCGGUCGGUCAAGUAAUUUCCGUCUUGAGGAAGGUGGUGUUGUUAAUAUCAGCAUCAAAAGGCAUUAGCGACAGAAGAAGCACCGGCUAACUCCGUGCCAGCAGCCGCGGUAAUACGGAGGGUGCGAGCGUUAAUCGGAAUUACUGGGCGUAAAGCGCAUGCAGGUGGUGGAUUAAGUCAGAUGUGAAAGCCCGGGGCUCAACCUCGGAACCGCAUUUGAAACUGGUUCACUAGAGUACUGUAGAGGGGGGUAGAAUUUCAGGUGUAGCGGUGAAAUGCGUAGAGAUCUGAAGGAAUACCGGUGGCGAAGGCGGCCCCCUGGACAGAUACUGACACUCAGAUGCGAAAGCGUGGGGAGCAAACAGGAUUAGAUACCCUGGUAGUCCACGCCGUAAACGAUGUCUACUUGGAGGUUGUGGCCUUGAGCCGUGGCUUUCGGAGCUAACGCGUUAAGUAGACCGCCUGGGGAGU
rnacentral:rRNA from 1 species